rnacentral:rRNA from 1 species
GUCCAACCUCCCACCCGUGUUUAUUUACCUUGUUGCUUCGGCGAGCCUGCCUUUUGGCUGCCGGGGGACGUCAGNCCCCGGGUCCGUGCUCGCCGGAGACACCUUAGAACUCUGUCUGAAGAUUGUAGUCUGAGAUUAAAUAUAAAUUAUUUAAAACUUUCAACAACGGAUCUCUUGGUUCCGGCAUCGAUGAAGAACGCAGCGAAAUGCGAUACGUAAUGUGAAUUGCAGAAUUCAGUGAAUCAUCGAGUCUUUGAACGCACAUUGCGCCCUCUGGUAUUCCGGAGGGCAUGCCUGUCCGAGCGUCAUUGCUGCCCUCAAGCACGGCUUGUGUGUUGGGCCCCGUCCUCCUUCCGGGGGACGGGUCCGAAAGGCAGCGGCGGCACCGCGUCCGGUCCUCAAGCGUAUGGGGCUUUGUCACUCGCUUUGUAGGCCUGGCCGGCGCUUGCCGAUCAACCAAACUUUUUAUCAGGUUGACCUCGGAUCAGGUAGGGAUACCCGCUGAACUUAAGCAUAUCAAUAAGCGGAGGAAAAGAAACCAACAGGGAUUACCUCAGUAACGGCGAGUGAAGCGGUAAGAGCUCAAAUUUGAAAGCUGGCUCCUUCGGGGUCCGCAUUGUAAUUUGCAGAGGAUGCUUCGGGAGCGGUCCCCAUCUAAGUGCCCUGGAACGGGACGUCAUAGAGGGUGAGAAUCCCGUAUGGGAUGGGGUGUCCGCGCCCGUGUGAAGCUCCUUCGACGAGUCGAGUUGUUUGGGAAUGCAGCUCUAAAUGGGUGGUAAAUUUCAUCUAAAGCUAAAUAUUGGCCGGAGACCGAUAGCGCACAAGUAGAGUGAUCGAAAGAUGAAAAGCACUUUGAAAAGAGAGUUAAAAAGCACGUGAAAUUGUUGAAAGGGAAGCGCUUGCGACCAGACUNGCUCGCGGGGUUCAGCCGGCAUUCGUGCCGGUGUACUU